rnacentral:lncRNA from 1 species
CAAAUGAUCAUGAGAUCAAUCAUCCUCAUCCAAUGAGCAAGCAACGUAUGUACCAAUCUAUCCGAAUUUACUAAUCCCCAAUUUAGUAAUCCAACGAUUGGGAACUAUUUUAGUUUUAAGCUUUCUAAGAAUUUAGAUCUCAUUAGAAUGAUCAUCAUCAUUAUUCUAAAAGCAUUGCUUAAAACUAUGGGUUUAUCACAUAUUAUAAAACAGUAUCAUGUAGAUAAUUUAAAAGCAUUUAAUACUUAUUAUUAAUAAAUGAAUAAGAUUGUUACAAAGUAUAUGCUUUAUCAUCAAACAUGAUUGACUUGUUUGCAUACUACUUUCACCUCAGGUCCUCAAACUUAAGUAAGAUUUGAUUAUGGUUUACAUAUGCAGUGAAGUAGAAGUAGAUACAUUACAUGCAAACAACCGAAUAAAAUAGAAAAGAAAACAAUGAGGGCUGUAAAUCCUAAAACUUUUCAAGAGAACUUCCAAAGCUGUAUAACAUAGUUCUAGAACAGUAGAACUCUACAAAUAUGUAGACAAGGACUAUCAGUAAAGAGAUGUUCUGAUCCGAAAAAACAAAUCUAAACAAAAGUAUAGCAUAUAUGUUAAUAGAGUUUUUGCACUUGAAAAAGAUGAUCAAACUAUUGCUACAAUCUCAAAAAUUUCAAACCAGACAACUAAAUUCGUUUGUUGUUUAAAAAAAAUCGUGCAAACAUGCUCAAAUUAAUAGAAACAUCAUAAACGAACUAUUGUGUUUAUUUAGAAAUUACGCGCAUCAUCUUGAGAUUAUUGUUAGUUUUUGAGUAUAUGAUGUUUUGAUUGAUGACCAAUUUAAGUGUGAAUGGUUCAUGAUGUAUUAUUAUAUUAAAUGUGCAUGAAUUAUGGGUUAUAAUAUUAUAGUUGAUAUGCAUGAGACAUGGGUAUUGCAUGAACUAUUAUUGCUGAUUUCUUCCCGUUGGUAGUUGGAAUAUGUUCAAAAUCAGUUCAGAUUUGAAUUAAUAUUAUGGAAGAUUUGAAUUGGAGGAUAUCAAGAAAGAUUUGGAUUGGAGCUUAUUAAGGUAUGUUGGUAUAACAGAUAUUAUGGUCCUUAAGGUAUGCUAGGCCAAAUUGGAUCCUCUGUUUCAUCAGUAUAGCUCGUGGGUAAUAAGUUAAUUAAGGAGUGUGUCUUGCUUAGUGGAACCCACAUUAGUUAGCAUUCUAUUUUGAAAAGGAGCCUGACUUUAGCUAUUGGAAAAUAUCCUUAUUUGUCUCCUUUAUUCAUGCUUAACACGGUUGUUUUGUAGGCAGUCUUCUCUCUUUUAUUUUCAGUGUUUCAUAUUCAAAUAGCUGGUGAAUAUCCGCGUAAUAUCUUUUUUGAGAUUUAAAGCUGCAGAAAUUAUGGGAAGUGUCUAACGGGUCUGAGAAAUAUUAGUCAUCACAUGUCAUAGUCGUUGCUCCUUAUUCGCUAUAUAUAUCUUCUCUUCGGCUGGUAAAAAGAGGCAUGAACAACCAGCAAUCAAAUUGAGAGAAUACAUCAGAGCUUACAAAUUGUUUUAGUCCAGCCUUAUAUUAUUAUAUAGCAUAUUCUUUUGUGCUGAAAAUUUCUUUGUAAACCGAAAGUAAGCAUAGUUUUUGCUUGAGAUUUUCUGUUUUAAGUAGUCUGUUCAUAGAAGGUUUCAAGGGUCUCAGAGGUGAGAAGAGGUGCAGUGGUGUACAUGUUGCAGAGGUGCAAACCAGGGGCAUAGGUGUCCAACAUCAGCUUUGAGGCUUCUUUGUAACAGGGAGUUAUUUGUGUAUUGAGUUUUAAUAGUAAUAAAAAGAGUCUCCAAUCCUAGUUGGGAUUGGACGUGGAUUAGGCUACUAGAUAGAGGAUAGGGGCUGAACCACGUAAAAAUCCUGGUGUUUUAUGUUUCUGCACUUUUACUUUCUGUUGACUUAAAGUUCUGUGUUCUGUUUUAUACCAAUUUAUAAAUUCACUAAUCCAGACACCAAAACAGACAAGUACAAGCUGUCCGAAUUGAUCCUGUAGCAGAAUUUUACAAAAAUUUGUCACUGUCUAUCACUUUAAGUAUAAACACCUAUUCAACCCCCUCUAGGUGUGCGUAUUUACUGAAUUACAAUUAUGAUCCACUCAAAUUUUAAGUUCAAAAAUAACAAUACAGAAACUAUAUUAGUAUUAACAGAUAGAAAAAAAGGAAAACACAGAACUAUAAUAAGAAAGAUACUCAACCUACAAAUAUAAAGUAGCCGGGCAAAGGGAUUCAGAUGACUAAUUUUUCAGUUUUCUAACUUCAGGCAAAAUUUUAAACAUUAACUUGACAGUAAAUUGAGUAUAAAGUUUGCAACAACCCUUGAUAUCAUAUGGAAGGUGAAUAUUCAAUGAAACAUAUCAACAGUACAAGAAAAGAACAUUGGCAACUUCUACCAAGAAUUGCAUUAAUUCAAUCACAAAGUCUAGUGUAAGGUUCAAUGCAAAAUAGGCAAUACAACGAAUAUAAAAUUAGUAAAGUAAUAAACACAGUUUCAAUCUGAUUCAAAAACACUAAAUGCACUAUAAAUAAUAUCUAGAUACACAUUUAACCUUAUUGAUGGUAAUUUUUCAAUUAAAGAACAAUAAUCGUAUAUACCUGAUAUGCCUUUGCCGAAUGAGAACACGAGCAUGGUUAAUCGAACUAUUGUGUCUCCUUACUAUAAAUACUAUGUAUUAAAAGGGUAUUACAUAUAAACAUCAUUUUUCAUGGGGAAUUAAUUUUGAAGUAUUGAUAUCCACAAUGAAAGACAAUGCGCGCUGUCAACAUUUUACUUUUGAAUUAGCAGACAAACUUAUAAGAUGAUAAGAAAAUUCUUAUGCAAACCUGGGCAUCAUACAUGAUAAUGCCGGCAUAAAUAGCUGCUAACCCGAAAAUUGCAUCCGAAAACCCCCUGUGGAAUAAGUAGAUAAACCUGUCCAAAAAUCCAUUGGAAAUAUAUAUAUUGAAGUUAAUAGGAUAAAAUCAACCAUUACAAACUAUAGAAAAUAAACUAGCCCAACAAAAAACAAACAAAAAAACACAACAACAACAACAACAACAUUAAGUACUUACAGAUGAAUGAACAGAAGGGAAACCUCCAGCUCGAAAAAUAGAAUCAAUAUUAAUUUCAAAUUUGUUUUUACAUAAAAGAACGGAAGUAAAAGGCUUGGAGAUUUACCCAAUUGCAGUAGAUACAGCUGCGGCUAUACAAUCACCUGUUUAUUAUAUAAAUUCCCAACAAAUAAGAGGUGGGUAUUCAAUCAAUAAUCAUGAACAAAUAAAGGGAAAACAAGCAUUAAAAAAAACCUUAUUGCGGGCGAUUUUAGCGAUUGCAUCAGUUCCAACUCUGAGACAAACGAAUGUAUAGAGAGAUAAAGAAGGAUGAAGCAGGGGAACAUUAGCGGUAGAUCGAAGACGAGAAAAAGAGAAUAACUUGAAGAGAAGAAGAGAAUAGUUGUUAGAGAGGAGGGAGAGGACUUGAGAGGAGGAAGAUGAUUUGGGGGAAAACUGAAAUGAUUUGGGAGGAAAUAGGAUGGUUUUU